UUUUGUAUUUUUAGUAGAGACGGGGUUUCACUGUAUUGGCCAGGCUGGUCUCAAACUCCUGACCUCGUGAUCUGCCCGCCUCGGCCUCCCAAAGUGCUGAGAUUACUGGCAUGAGCCACCGCGCCCGGCCUUUUAAUUCAUAUUUUUUUGUAGCGAUGGAGCUUCACCGUGUUGCUCAGGCUAAUUUCAAACUCUUGGGCUCAUGCAAUCCUCCGGGGUCGGCCUCAGUCUCCUCCCAAAGCAUUGGGAUCGCAGGGGUGAGCCACUGUUCUCGGCCUCACCUCUUCUAACGUUAAGAGUUUGCAGUCAUAACUUUCUCUAAACACUGUAUUAGCUGCAUCCUAUACAUUUUCAUGUGCAUAUUUCCAUUUUUAUUCAGCUCAAAAUACGUACUAAUUUUUUGUGAUUUCUUAUUUAUUUUUAGUCUUAUGAGACGGAGGCUCGCUCUGUUGCCCAGGCUGGAGUGCAACGAGGCGAUCUCGGCUCACUGCAACCUCUGCCUCCCGGUUCAAGCGAUUCUCCUGCCUCAGCCUCCCGAGUAGCUGGGACUACAGGCAACCGCCACCACACCCAGCUAGUUUUUGUAUUUUUAGUAGAGACGGAGUUUCACUAUAUUGGCCAGGCUGGUCUUGAACCCCUGACCUCAAGUGAUCCCCCGCCCCCCCUCGACCUCCCAAAGGGCCGGGAUUAUAGACAUUAGACGUCGUUGCCGGGGAAGCCCUCCAAACACCCAGAAAUGCCACAGCCAGGACCGUGGGACGCAGCAGAAUCGUCCAAAGGGCAGGGGGGCAGCCUGGCCAGAAGAAAAUGAGGGAGGGGCCGCGCGUGAGGUUCGGCAGGGGAGAACACAGGCCUCCGGCGGCCACAGACGCCGCUUUGCCAUUUUGAGCGCUUCUGGGGAGGACAAUGCGCGCAGUCAUCUCAAGCUGACUUCCAAGGCUACUGGGUUCGAGGGCUGGAACCGGGUCUGAAAGCCCCGACCCGUCUAUGGCGCGGGGACUGUGGGUCCAGCCGGCCGCUUGGCCCCCUCGCUCGGCCCCGGUCCAGGCGCAGCGCUCGGGCCCCGGGGACGGUGAGAUGCGGCGUGGCCAGCUUAGCUCGGGGUAGAGGCCACCCCAGCCUCGCCCCAGCCGGCCAGGUCCGCGACCUCGGGAGGGUCCGGUCCUUCCCUCGGCCCCCGCGACGCCGCGCCCGGGUGAGGCCCUGGGCUUCUUGCCGGUGACCACGCGGCCAGGGUGGCCCCCAGCCCAGGACGGCUACCAAGGGCGGCCCAGCCCCAUCCCCGCGCCGCGGGUCCCGGAACCGAAGAGCUGGGAGCGGGGGCUCCCUGACAACAUGGCGGCGGCGCCCGGGCGCCUCCCCGGGUCCCGGGUGUCUGCGUCUCCCCGCGAGGGCGUGGGCAAAGCCGGUGCCCUCCGACGACAGGAGGCGAAAGGAACCCAGGACCAGACCCGCGGGGCGAACAGUGCUGGAGGACCAUGCACCGACCACGCCCGAAGCAGAACCAAGGCCCGCCCUGUUGCCGUGGCGACUGCGCGCGGGGUAGACGCAGGCGCCGCAAGCCGUGAGCUCUCAGUGCAGGCGCAUAGGCUGCGGGGUUGAGGCGCAUUGCGUGCGCGUGCGCGCUGCUCACACGCGGACGGUUCUGUGCGCCGCAAUGGCUGCCCGCGAGUGUCGGAGAGGCGGAGCUCUCAGCCUUUUACAGGACCGGGUCUCCUGAUGCCGCCGGUGGUUCCUCGAGGCCCCCUUCCACGCAUCCGCCGCCGCUGCUUCAUCAGGACUUCAUUUCGGUGACGCAGAGCUUUGGCGAGAGCUACGGCAACAGCAAGAACUGCCGGCGGCUCUUGUGCUGCAGGAGAUGAGAGAUCGUAGAAAUAAAGACACAAGACAAAGAGAUGGAAGAAAAGACAGCUGGGCCCAGGGGACCACUACCACCAAGGCAUGGAGACCGGUAGUGGCCCCGAAUGCCUGGCUGCACUGUUAUUUAUUCGAUACAAGGCAAGGAGGCAGAAGGCACAGCCAGGUGUACAGGGCGGAACACGAAAGUGGACCAGGAGCGUGACCGCUGAAGCACAGCAUCACAGGGAGACGUUUAGGCCUCCGGAUGGCUGCGGGCGGGCUUGACUGAUGUCAGGCCUUCCACAAGAGGUGGUGGAGCAGAGUCUUCUCUAACUCCCCCGGGGAAACUGAGACUCCCUUUCCCGGUCUGCUAAGUAACGGGCGUCUUCCCAGGCACUGGCGUUACCGCUAGACCAAGGAGCCCUCUAGUGGCCCUGUCUGGGCAUAACAGAAGGCUCACACUUGGCUUUGGUCACUUCUCACCAUGUCCCUUCAGCUCCUAUCUCUGUAUGGCCUGGUUUUUCCCAGGUUAUAAUUGUAGAACAGAGAUUAUUAUAAUAUUGGAAUAAAGAGCAAUGCUACAAACUAAUGAUUAAUACUCAUAUAUCAUCAUAUCUAUAUUCUAGUUCCAGUAUAACUAUUCUUAUUCUGUAUAUUUUCUUUAUUAUAUUGGAACAGCUCGUGCCCUUGGUCUCUUGCCUCGGCACCUGGGUGGCUUGCCGCCCACAGAGACCAGUCCAGCCAACAUGAUGAAACCCCGACUCUACGAAAAAUACAAAAAUUAGCCGGGUGUGGUGACAGGCGCCUGUAAUCCCAGCUAACUGGGAGGCUGAGGCAGGAGAAUCGCUUGAACCUGCGAGGCAGAGGUUGCAGGAGCCGAGAUGGCGCCACUGCACUCCAGCCUGGGUGACAGAGCGAGACUCCGUCUCAACAAAAACCCAAAAAACAACAAAAAAAGUUAAAACUGUAAAACUCUUAGGAAAAAAACGGGAUAAACCUUCACAACUUUUAAUUUGGCAACAGAUUCUUAGAAAUGACACUAAAAGCACAAGCAACAAGAGACCGACAAAGUGGAUGUCAUCAAAAUAAUUUCUGCACAUCGGCCGGGUGUGGUGGCUCACGCCUGUAAUCCCAGCACUUUGGGAGGCUGAGGCGGGUGGAUCGGGAGUUCAACACCAGCCUGGCCAAGAUGAUGAAACCCCAUCUCUACUAAAUAUCCAAAAAUUAGUCGGGCGUGGUGGCGGGCGCUGUAAUCCCAACUAAACUCUGGAGGCUGAGGCAGAGAACUGCUUGAACCCAGGAGGGGGAGGUUGCUGUGAGCCAAGAUCGCGCCAGUGCACUCCCGCCUGGGCAACAGAGUGAGACUCUUGUCUCAAAUAAUAAUUUUUGCACUUCAAAGACAGUAUCAACUGAAUAAAGAAGCAACCCACAGGAAGAUUUGAAAAUAACAUAUAUGACAAGGGAUUGAGAUCUAGAUUAUUUAUUUAUUAUUUACUUUUUUUUUUU